rnacentral:lncRNA from 1 species
CUUACUCUGCCAUUUUCCAGCUGUGUGGCUUUGGGCAAGUUAUUUAACCUCUCUGUGCCUCAACUUCUUCAUGUAAACUGGCAGUAAUAAUAAUACGAAUGCCACAGAGCUGUGGAUGAAAUGAGCCCAUUCCGGUCUGGCUUCUUUAACCAGGAAGAUGUGGGCUGAGAGCUGUGGAGUAGAUGUCUUCACCAGAUGAGUACACAGAGAAGUAGAGAAUGUGUAUCUGCAGAGUAGGAUGAAGCAGAGACAAGUCUUGUGAAUAAGGUAUUCAGGAAGCACAGCUGUCUUUUGUUCCUGAAGCCGUAUCAGGAUUCAGCAGGAAAGAGCACCAAGAUCACUUGGCAAUGUUUAUCCUGAUCAAGCACGGGCACUGAUGGCAGGAUGUCAAUGUUGAAAAGCAGGUUAUUUAAUUCUGCUAUUUAAAAGUGGCUACGGACCAGGCGCAGUGGCUCACGCCUGUAAUCCCAGCACUUUGGGAGG